GGGACACGUGGUAUCCUGUCUGAAUAUGGGGGGACCAUCCUCCAAGGCUAAAUACUCCUGACUGACCGAUAGUGAACCAGUACCGUGAGGGAAAGGCGAAAAGAACCCCGGCGAGGGGAGUGAAAAAGAACCUGAAACCGUGUACGUACAAGCAGUGGGAGCACGCUUAGGCGUGUGACUGCGUACCUUUUGUAUAAUGGGUCAGCGACUUAUAUUCUGUAGCAAGGUUAACCGAAUAGGGGAGCCGAAGGGAAACCGAGUCUUAACUGGGCGUUAAGUUGCAGGGUAUAGACCCGAAACCCGGUGAUCUAGCCAUGGGCAGGUUGAAGGUUGGGUAACACUAACUGGAGGACCGAACCGACUAAUGUUGAAAAAUUAGCGGAUGACUUGUGGCUGGGGGUGAAAGGCCAAUCAAACCGGGAGAUAGCUGGUUCUCCCCGAAAGCUAUUUAGGUAGCGCCUCGUGAAUUCAUCUCCGGGGGUAGAGCACUGUUUCGGCAAGGGGGUCAUCCCGACUUACCAACCCGAUGCAAACUGC
rnacentral:rRNA from 1 species